rnacentral:misc_RNA from 1 species
GGAAGGAUCAUUAACACGUAUCCACGUAUUCACCCCAGUGAAUUCGUUUUCGAUCAAGUCCUGCUGUUGCUGACGAUGCUGGUAUGCGCUUUAGAAUUCGUUUGAAUGAGAAUCGACUUCGGUCGAUUCCGGUUCUAAGUCGCUUCUUCUUCGGAAGGACACAUCGAUAGUUUAAUAACAGGCAUUUCGUUCUAUUCUCCUCUUUACAUUCAACGAGCUGGAGUUUAGUUCUAUUCAAUUCACCUAUUUCACACCCUUUUUGCUAGUUGACUUUUAAUAUGUUGUUAUUUGAAAACCUUGAUCGGUUGGCUUAUGACACACGUUUAAUUAUUUGAACGUUAAAAAAACAACUCUUAGCAAUGGAUAUCUAGGUUCUCGCAACGAUGAAGAACGCAGCGAAAUGCGAUACGUAAUGCGAAUUGCAGAAUUCAGUGAAUCAUCAAAUCUUUGAACGCAAAUUGCGCUCUUGGGUAGCCCUAGGAGCACGCCUCUCUCAGUAUCGGUUCAAACACCUCUCAGCAGCGUUGAUUUCAACGUGUUGGCUGGAAAAUGAGAGUCUAUCGAUUCGUUCGAUAGUCUCUUGAAAUUGAUCGAGUGAGUGAGUGGAGCCAUUUCAGCUUGUCUUCGGACAAUAGCUUGACAUUUGACUCUUUCACAUCAGUGACGUGAAUAUUGACCCUUGUUGGUCUUCUUUUUACGUGUGUCUGAUGAGAGAGAUUUAUAGUUGAAUACAAGUGAACGAAUGGAUUAUCCCCUUCUCAUGGAACGCGAUAGACACCUCUAUUGCAAUCGACUUUCUUUCGAGACAGUCUGAAUAUUUGAUCUGAGAUGAAGCGAGACAACCCCCUGAAUUUAAGCAUAUUAAUAAGGGGAGGAAAAGAAACUAACAAGGAUUCCCCCAGUAACGGCGAGUGAAGCGGGAAGAGCUCAAUUUGAAAAUCGAUUACCUAAACGGGUCAUCGAAUUGUAGCCUAGAGACGUACUAUCAGCUAAAACCUGGGUAUAAGUUCUUUGGAAUGAGGCAUCAUAGAGGGUGAGAAUCCCGUAUAUGACCCAAAGCUUUUAGCGUACGAUGUAUGUUCCUCGAGUCGAGUUGUUUGGGAUUGCAGCUCUAAAUGGGUGGUAAGUUUCAUCUAAAGCUAAAUAAUGGCGAGAGACCGAUAUCGAACAAGUACCGUGAGGGAAAGAUGAAAAGAACUUUGAAAAGAGAGUUAAAAGUACUUGAAAUUGCUAAGAGGGAAGCGCUGUCAACCAGUGAUAUGCGUUAUUCAUCGCUUUCAGCCCCACUGGAUGUAGGAGAUAGUAUUUAACUCUGUCUCAUGCAUCGAAAGGGAGGUUGUAGGUUUAGAAUAGCGUGUCAGUCAAGAUUCAUUCGAUGAGUGGAAGAAGGUAGUGGGAAAGGUAGGAGAUCCGUCUCUGUUAAGUCCCAUUACUCUACCUCGCGUUGGAUGGAGGAAGGAAUAGUGCGCUGCUUGCGGCUUCAUCCCCUGCUCCUAUGUAGUUAAUGCUUCUGAUAGCAAUGCUAUCCUUGGUGUGAAGCUGCAUACUGGGUGGGACGAUGCUAUGUGCUAUCACGAUCUUGUACGAAAUGGUUGUCAUCGACCCGUCUUGAAACACGGACCAAGGAGUCUAACAUCUAUGCGAGUAUUUGAGUGAAAAACUCUGAUGCGCAAUGAAAGUAAAGGUAGCUUCGGCUGCUGAGGUAGGAAUCCGGUCAAACGGAGGCACUAUCGACCGAUCAUCACUUGUGAAAGAUUUGAGUAAGAGCAUAUCUGUUGGGACCCGAAAGAUGGUGAUCUAUGCCUGAACAGGGUGAAGCCAGGGGAAACUCUGGUGGAGGCUCGUAGCGAUACUGACGUGCAAAUCGUUCGUCUGAUUUGGGUAUAGGGGCGAAAGACUAAUCGAACCAUCUAGUAGCUGGUUCCCUC